rnacentral:lncRNA from 1 species
AAGGAGGUAACUCUCCAAAAUCCACAAGCAAUAUCGUUUUCAAAGAAAAAAUAAAGAAGAACAAAGAAAGGGGAAGGGGAGAACGUCUAGAGAGAAGAAGAAAAAAUCUAAAUAAAAAUGGCAAUAAAUAGUUUUAUAUAUUUUAACUUAAAACAAAAAUGCUACUUAACAAAAAAAGAAACGAAAUAAAAAUGUUUCCUCAAAAUGCACACACAAAGACUCGAA